rnacentral:lncRNA from 1 species
UGUAUCCGUCCUGCCUGACCACCCGCACGGCGCCGUUGUCCUCAAGGACCACUCGCUGGCGGCCCAACCUCCAACUCCUCCCCGAACAAGGUUAAUGCUCUAGUCUUUAGCCUCUUCUCCCGCCUUCAUUUUUUUUUCCUCCGGAUCUGGAGCUGCGAGCGAUUAGAAAGGGGUGAUUUAGCUACGUGUGAGCGUAUCAACUUUUUCAGGGAACAUAUCUUGACAUUAAUUUGUGGAACUUGUUAAUUCCGUGAGAAUUUAGUAUGGCUAGCACAUGGAUGUAUGCUUCCACUAAUGUACGCCUAUUUGGAAAUUAGAACCAGGGCAAAGAAUGAGCAAAUACUCCACCUGUUUAUGUACGUUUGUCUUCUUUCAUGUAACAGAGUUCGGAGAUUCACAACGUAGGAAAGGAGGGGAGUUCUCAAAGUACUGAACUUUGCACAACAUAAUUCACCCUUUUACAUGCUUAGCCACAACAUAAUUUUUUCUUAACUAAUUUAUAAUUUCAAAUGUUUUUCCAGGCCCAGUUCUCAUUGAAAAACACCAAGAACAUCAUGGGAAUACGUGAGGUUUUUGCUCCUAAUUUUUUUAUUUGACUGCAAUGCCGUUACAUAGAUAGCUCUCACUUUCGGUUUCUCUGUGGAUUUAAAUUCUGAUCCUGUGAUGUUUUUCCUGGUGCUCAUAUUAACUCUGUCAUAACUGAUGUAAGUCAUUUUUUUCCAAAUAUAACUGAUGUAAGUCUUGGUGUUUUAGAAUCUCUCUUUAUGUAUGUUUGACACCAGUCAACUUUUUAUUGAGCCAUGAUGCCUUUUAUUUUGCCAAAUGUAAUUUUAGGUUCCUGUUGUGAUGAUCAGUUGCACUCAGUUACUCCUUUAUCAUAUUCUAAAGCUAAGAGUUUUGUGUAGUAUACAUGGCUAAAUGACUAACAAUUCAAUCUCAUUGACACUAGAAGGCCUCGUGGCUACAUGAACCUUUCCUUCUCGUUUUCUUCUGAAACUUGCUGCUUUGCAAUGUCAAUCACAACUUCCCAAGGCAGAUACAUGUUAUAUUAGAGGAUUGCAACAUCCCAUG